GGGGUUGUGGCUCAGAGGUAGAGCACUUGCUGCUUGCCUAAUAUGUUUGAGGUACCGAGUUCAAUCCUCGGCACCACA
rnacentral:tRNA from 1 species